UGGGGCUGUGGCUCAGUAGUAGAGUGCUUGUCUCGAAUAUGUGAGGCACUGGGUUCGAUCCUCAGCACCACAA
rnacentral:tRNA from 1 species